rnacentral:rRNA from 1 species
GAUGAACGCUGGCGGCGUGCCUAAUACAUGCAAGUCGAGCGAACAGACGAGGAGCUUGCUCCUCUGACGUUAGCGGCGGACGGGUGAGUAACACGUGGAUAACCUACCUAUAAGACUGGGAUAACUUCGGGAAACCGGAGCUAAUACCGGAUAAUAUAUUGAACCGCAUGGUUUAAUAGUGAAAGACGGUUUUGCUGUCACUUAUAGAUGGAUCCGCGCCGCAUUAGCUAGUUGGUAAGGUAACGGCUUACCAAGGCGACGAUGCGUAGCCGACCUGAGAGGGUGAUCGGCCACACUGGAACUGAGACACGGUCCAGACUCCUACGGGAGGCAGCAGUAGGGAAUCUUCCGCAAUGGGCGAAAACCUGACGGAGCAACGCCGCGUGAGUGAUGAAGGUCUUCGGAUCGUAAAACUCUGUUAUUAGGGAAGAACAAAUGUGUAAGUAACUAUGCACGUCUUGACGGUACCUAAUCAGAAAGCCACGGCUAACUACGUG